GUAGGUGGCAAGCGUUGUCCGGAAUUAUUGGGCGUAAAGCGCGCGCAGGUGGUUCUUUAAGUCUGAUGUGAAAGCCCCCGGCUCAACCGGGGAGGGUCAUUGGAAACUGGGGAACUUGAGUGCAGGAGAGGAAAGUGGAAUUCCACGUGUGGCGGUGAAAUGCGUAGAUAUGUGGAGGAACACCAGUGGCGAAGGCGACUUUCUGGCCUGUAACUGACACUGAGGCGCGAAAGCGUGGGGAGCAAACAGGGAUUAGAUACCCUGGUAGUCCACGCCGUAAACGAUGAGUGCUAAGUGUUGGGGGGGUUUCCCGCCCCUCAGUGCUGCAGCUAACGCAUUAAGCACUCCGCCUGGGGAGUACCGGUGCAAGACUG
rnacentral:rRNA from 1 species